AUUAUAUCAACUAGAUAUCAAAACUACUUUUCUUCAUGGACAUUUAGAGAAAACAAUCAAUAUGAUGCAACCUAAAGGAUUUGACGUUAAAGGAAAAGAAAAUCUCUUUUGCUUACUCAACAAGUCUAUAUAUGGGUUAAAACAAUCACCUAGGUGCUGGUAUAAGAGAUUCAUGCCUAUAUUUCUAGCAUUGGGUUCAAAAAAAGUUCAUUUGACAUAUGUGUUUAUGUAAAUACAGGUUCUUACAAGAAUAAUGUUUACCUACUCAUAUAUGUAGAUGACAUGUUGCUAGCAGAUAGAUCCAAAGGAGAUCUAACCUAUGUUAAAAACCUCUUAAAAGGAGAGUUUGAUAUGAAAGACUUAGGAGAAGCAAGUAAGGUCCUAGGAAUAGAGAUCCAAAGGAACAAAGAGGAGUCUAUUCUAAGCAUUAACCAGUCUAAUUACUGUGAGAAGAUCCUUAAAAGGUUCAACAUGAAUGAUGCAAAACCUGUGAUCUUACCUAUUGCUCAGCACUUUAAGCUUUCCUCAGCUAACUCUCCUAAAGAUUUUGACCAAGAACAUCUGAAACAGAUGGCUUUCAUUCCCUAUAGUCAAGCAAUCAGAAGCCUAAUGUAUUUAAUGAUUUUUACCAGACCCGAUCUCUUAUAUUCAGCUAGCUUAGUUAGUAGAUAUAUGUCUAAUCCUGGUAAGAGACACUGGGAAGCUACUAAACGGAUCCUAAGGUAUUUGGUUUGGUCUAAAAACUCAAGAUUAGUCUACUAAAGGUCAACUGAACCAAAUUUAGAGCUUUAUGGAUAUGUGGAUGCUGACUAUGCUGGUGAUUUAGACAAAAGGAGGUCCUUAGCAGGUUACCUUUUCCUUUAUGGUCCUAAUCUAAUCAGCUAGAAAAUAUCACUACAACCUAUAGUAGCCUUAUCUACAACAGAAGCUGAAUACAUGGCUUUAACAGAAGCAAUCAAAGAGGCAUUGUGGCUCAAGGGAUUGCUAAAAGACUUUGAAAUAGAUCAAAUAGUGGUGAAACUCUAUUGUGACAACCAAAGUGCUAUCCAUUUGUCUCAAAUUCCACAAUUUCACACUAGAACUAAGCACAUUAAUAUCAAGUAUCAUUUCAUUAGAGAUAAAAUUGAGACAGAGGAGAUAAAACUUUUAAAGUUUCAUACUUCAGACAAUGCAACUGACAUGUUAACAAAACCUGUUUCAAAGUUUAAAUUGUUUAAAUGUUUAGAACAUGUUGGCUUUGAGCUUCCAGACACAAGGUAGACAAAUCGGUCAACAUUAGGAAGAUCAGAAGAUUGCAAGGCAUUAGAGUUAAGGUGGACAAUUUGAAGAAGCUUUGACUCAAAUACCUCAGUUUUUUGUUUGUUUAUAACUAACUUUGUAAACGGUCAGCUGGUAUACUCUAUAAAUGCCUCUGAUUUUAAAUUAAACAGAGAGAGUUAUCAUCAUUUUCCUUAGUUUUCUAUAAACAACAAAACUGUACGCAAUCUUCAUCAGUAAAGGAAUUCAGAUCUUCCCGUGGACGUAGGCAAUCUUGUCGAACCACGUAAACAUUGCGUCUUCAUCUUCUUGCCUUAUCUUUCUUGUUCAUACGAGUGUUUUCUUUACUGCAAAUCACGCGCCAUUCAUUCAUCAUUCAAAUCGCAUCGAGUAAUUUGAAUAUCGAGUUUAUCGUCCAUCGUUCUUCACAUCGAGUAGCUUCAAGUACGUCGUUUUCACCUUCAAGUCGCAUCGAGUAUCGUUCAAGAACCGUCGAGUAUGAUCGAUUAUUAGUUCAGUUGUCACCGAGUUCCAUCGAGGAUUUAAUAGAGACUCGUCAGACGAAGAAGGAAAUUCUCAUCGAGGAUUGAGUAGGAAGACAUUGAGCAUCGAGGGUCGAGAAGACAUUGAGCAUCGAGGGUCGAGUAUUAAGGAUUUGGCAGAAUAUUUCUGAGCCUUUUCUUCAUCUUUCCAGUGUUGAUCUUGGGUAUUUAGGCCUUGUGAAGAGUGGUUAGCCCAACACGUUCAUCUCGGGUCAAUAUCCAAAUAGAGCACAUAAGCAUGAGCAUGGAUCAGUCUUGCUCAUAUCAAGGUAGGGGAAACCACAAGGCUACCUAGAUAGAGCACGAACAAGGCUCACAAAAUUUCUUUGUUCAUUAUCUAAGGACUUCACCCACACAACUAGGUUUAGACCAAGGUUCUGAUACCAAUUGAUAAGGACAAUGGACCUCCAUAUAUUUCCACAAUGAUAUGAUAUUGUCCACUUUGGGUAUAAACCCUCGUGACUUUGCUUUUGAAAUUACCUCAAAAGGCCUCAUACCAAGGGAGAUAACUAUAAUCACUCCCUUCCUUGUUCUUAUGUUAGUAAUUCAAAUGCAAGUCUAUUUUUAGUUACUUUGAAUCAACCUUUACAAAUGGUAAACUCUUUAGUCAAAGCAUUGCAACAUUAUCAAUUGAAGACAUCUUCUCCAAUUUUAUCUUUCCUUCAUAGAUAGCAUGUCUGAUAAAAUUAAAAUGGACAUUAAUGUACUUUGUUCUCUCAUUGUAAAUCUAUUUUGGACAGAAAAGCAAAACUUUGACUAUUACAAUAAACAAGAAUUUGGGUUUUCAAACAAAUACCUAAUUCUUCAAUCAAUUCUUUCAACCAGAUUGCUUCUUUGAAAGCUUAUGUCACUGCCGUACCUUCAGAUUCUAUUGUUGAAGGAUAAACAAUAUGUUGAAGAGAAGAACACCGGCUAAUUAUAUUCCUAAGAUAGAUCUCAGUUCCAAAACAGAAAGCAAUUUGAUGCAGAGAAGACACACGAAUGAUCUUUGCUAGGUGAAACGCUUGGAUGAAGGAAAGCGACGUAAAGAACUUAUUCUUCACACAUGUGGAGAGGUGGAUCUAAUACAUAACGAUUGAUGAGUAAAGGAAAGGAGGAGAAGAACACAAAAGAUACGUGGUUCGGCCAAAAUCAACCCACAUCUGCAAGAAGGAUUUUCUUUAAGGAUUGCAAGUUAAGUUUCUAUUUAUUUUAUGAAAUGAUAAACUCUCUACUGAUUAUCCAGAUUUGAUUUGGUAUUUAUAGGUUAUACCAAUCAGUUACAAGUUUGUAAGUUUGUUGAGAAAAAGCAAAAAACUAGUCGUUGGAGUCAUUUUAUAUUAAUUUUCCAACUUGAAUCCAAUAUAUGAAACCUUUAAAUUGUUCAA